rnacentral:rRNA from 1 species
UACGUAGGGGGCAAGCGUUGUUCGGAAUUACUGGGCGUAAAGCGCGCGUAGGCGGUUUGGCAAGUCAGAUGUGAAAGCCCCGGGCUCAACUUGGGAACUGCAUUUGAUACUGCCAGACUAGAGUACAGAAGAGGUGACUGGAAUUCCCAGUGUAGCGGUGAAAUGCGUAGAUAUGCGGAGGAACACCGAUGGCGAAGGCAAUCCCCUGGGCCUGCACUGACGCUCAUGCACGAAAGCGUGGGGAGCAAACAGG